rnacentral:rRNA from 1 species
AUACCGGCCGCUCAAGUGGUAGCCGCUUUUAUUGAGCCUAAAGCGUCCGUAGCCGGUCUGAUAAGUCUCUGGUGAAAUCCCGCAGCUUAACUGUGGGAAUUGCUGGAGAUACUAUCAUGACUCGAGGUCGGGAGAGGCUGGAGGUACUCCCAGGGUAGGGGUGAAAUCCUGUAAUCCUGGGAGGACCACCUGUGGCGAAGGCGUCCAGCUGGAACGAACCUGACGGUGAGGGACGAAAGCCAGGGGCGCGAACCGGAUUAGAUACCCGGGUAGUCCUGGCCGUAAACGAUGUGGACUUGGUGUUGGGAUGUCUUCGAGCUGCCCCAGUGCCGAAGGGAAGCUGUUAAGUCCACCGCCUGGGAAGUACGGCCGCAAGGCUGAAACUUAAAUGAAUUGGCGGGG